CAAGUUUACAUAAUUUGUACAGAGUGUACCUAGUAAAUGAAGAGUACACUGAGCUCAUAAACAGGCUCUUGCUAUUGUUGCACUAAGCUAUCUCAGCAGAGGGCUUGUUUCUCAGCUCAGCAUUAUUAAUGCCUUCCCUAUUAUUGCAGAGUGUGAGGAACAGAAUGCCUUUAUCUCUCUUAUUGGCUGCAGGUUCUCAGCAGAGUUUGAACACAUAUUCUGCUUGGCCAGUACAAUCUGGUUUGAAACUUACUGCAAACAGUCACAGGUUGAAAAAUGUUUUAAGAAAGCAACUUGCUACAUCAACCAUUCUGACCCAUCAACAAACCAGUUUCCAGACAGGACUUGCUCGUCUUUUCUUCCAUCAUAGCUGAUUGAACGAGAAUUCCCCCUGAUGCAGCACUUCUAAUGUCUCCAUGCAGAUAUUGCGAGGUCUCAUUUUCAGAGAAAAAAAAAAGUCUUGCUCUCCUUCCACCAAACCCCAUAUGAAGGGACCAGAAGCCCUGAGCCCCUGCCCUCCCCACCACCCAGGAAGCCAGGUGGCUGAGGGGAUUGUCAAGGCCAAAGCUUCAGAGCACCCACCAAGCACUGGCCUCCUGCAGACACACAGUCCAGACGGAAGGCUCUCUUUGUGGCUCAAAAAGGAUAAAAAUGAAAAAUCCUGCAUGGCUCAGAAAGGAUGAAUGGAGAAAUCCUGCCAUCCUGGCUUAAGAAGAGAGAGCCAAGAUGCACAAAAGAUUUUUGUUACAAAAACAACAGUAACAAUCCUCCCUUCUCAGAAUCCCUUACUAGAGGCUUUUUUUUUGAACAUCUCAACUGAAAGGCUGAUCCCAAGCAGCUUUUUGGCCAGAUGACCUUGGCACACUUUGCCCUGUACCCUGCUAGGUGGAAAGGCCCCGUGUUGCUCUGAUGGGUAGAUAAAAGGAGGCGGCAUCAGCACAAACUUGGCCUGACUCUGUUGGGACCAGCAGUAUGUGUGAAGACAGUCACAUUAAGAUUUUAAUUCACAUUUAAGACAUUAAACUUAAUCUAACUGUGACCCUGUCCCUUAUCAAUGGAAGUUCUCUGGGCUCAAUGAGGCAUGAGAACUCUGCAACAAGACACAUGCUUUCUUAACCAGGCAAAAGGUAUAGGAAUUAAAUACCAGUGGGCAUUUUCCCUCGUGUCACAAGCACAAACAUCCUACAUUCUACCCUGAAUUAUAUGUAUUAACUCUGAAUGUGGUGAGCCUCUGUUGUAAAAUCUGGGGAAUGGUAACACGAUGCUCCUGAAUACCUGGGAAGCUGUCUUCCAUUUCUGUACUGGCGAGAAAAGGACCCCAUGGGAUGAGAUGCAUUUCACAGUUUUGCCUGUUGUAUCUUCAGACUUAAUCUAUCACUCGAGGUAUACAUGAAUGUGAAAAGAGAGCAAAACUGUAGUAGAAAGAAUAUGAAAAGAGAGCAAAAUUGUAGUAGAAAGCUCUUGCAGGCAUAACUCAUGGUUUUUAACAGACUUGAUUGUGAAAGAGAAAUGCAAAUGACCUGUAGAAUAUUAUUUGGCAAAUAAGACACUAAGAAGCAGAAGUGAUGAUUAGCUUUCAGUCUUCUAAGAAAGAGGUAUGUUCCUUACUUUAUUCUUGCUUUUCUUCCAAACUCUGUCAAGCUAUACGGGAGAUUCAGAUCAACAAUCAUGAACUUGUACUAAUACCACAUCACAGAUGACUACUAUCAUUCACUUUGAUGACCACAAAAUCAAAGCUCAGCAUCUUGUGAAAGCCAAGCAGGGUGAUUACAAAAUCAGGCCCAAACCAUUUUCAGCAUUAUAUCCUUUAAAAUGCUAAUGCUUUAAUCCAUAGACACUGAUCAAACAGCUCAAAAAACUCCACAUUUGAGAUCAAGGCUCCGGACUUUCAAGGGAACUUUCUCACUCAAAAAGUUCCAGAGGUGAGAAGCAUAAUUACAUGCAUAUUUCAAAGGGAGGAAAAAGUUUGAAGGUAUCUUUGAAAAUUAGAAGUUUGCCUUGCCUCCUCCCACAUGGUGAGAUUAGGUCUUUUAUUUGUUUCUGGUAAGCUCUAGCAAACUGUGAUACAAGAAUUAUAGACCAAUUCUCUGUGCUUUGUUAUUUACACAAAAUUUAAACAUGAUUUCAUAAAAACUUAUUUUCUGCCUUUUUUUGCACUUUAUCCUACACAUUCUUUGAGCUGAAAUCCUUAAAAGCCAGCUGUUGAACAGUCUGAGAUUACAGUAUAGAAUGUUAGAGCAAAUAAGCAAAUUAGAUGAGAAGAGAAAAAUAGCAUGAAUCCUUACUACUCUCUACUAUAAUUUUCUUUGCAGAUGCUUACCAUCCUGCAGCAGUGCCCUGACACCAGCUGCAGUUACGUGGCUCACUCUGGAUGUCUGCAGUGCAGAAAUCAUUGGAAGAUAAAAGACAACACACAGUUUUACUGUAAGCCUUACAUACCUGAAUCAUCACCUCUCUGAAGUCGGCAGAUCACAAGUUGACAUUCAGUGCAACCUGGAUGGGAAGAAUUGAAGUUGAACUGUCAACGGGUCUGACAGUUGUUAUAACAGGAUGAAAACUGGAAGAGAAUUAAACAGAAGCACCCUAAGCUUCACCAUAAACCCAUGCCUAGUCUAACAGCUGAGAAGAAUGGAAGGGGGUGAGUUUAUAUUAUAAGAGAAGGAAGACGCCACUCAUCUCCAUCCUGCUUUCCUCCAUUCACAGAUACGGAAGUGCCACUUGCCCAUGCAAAGUUGCAGUUCUUGGUAUCCAAACCCCCUCCACAGUCAGGUUCCUAAGCAAGGACAUUUUCCAUGGUCAGACUUCACAGAUUGCUUUACUCUGAAAUGGUUACACUGUUCUUCAUCCCCCCCCCCCCUCUUAUUUUAUGUCAUUUUUAACUUCUUAAAUCAAAACUGCUCUUAAGAAAUAGCAGCUAGGCAUAAGGUACUUUACAAGAUUUAGGUUCUUCUGUUCGCUCUGACACAGUGCAAGCAGAAGGAAUCACAUGGACUUCUAUGAGCAGAUCAUCUGUCUAUUAUCUGACAUUAUAUUUUACUUUGCUACCAAACCACUUUUUUUUUUUUUUAAUUCACUAUCUUAAAUAAUUUUCCUUUUCUCAGGAAUUUUACAUUUUAAACAUGAGCUAUCAUUCCCUAAGGUCAGAAGAAGGAAGCUUUGGUAGCAGAGACAGCUGCAACAUAGCUGAUAUACUACAGUCAUUACGAGUUUGUUUUGGCCAUGCAUUAAAAUUCUGUUGAUUUAAGUAUUCAUGUGUGUCUAAUUCUGCUGGAUGAGACUGAGAGUUUUCAGGCAUCUGUGUGCAAUAUCAGUAUAACUUUCUAUUUACUUUCCAUGUGAAAAUGAGUGAACACUUUGUCAGUCUUGAUACUUUUUUUUUCCUGUACUGUUCUGUUUUGCUUUUUGCCAUGUGCUUAUUGAUAUGUCCCAUUUUUCAAUGCCACUGUAUUUUGGCAUAGAGAUCGCCUCAACCAUCAUUCAUGGAAACUAAGACCAUAGGCUCAGAACGUUUUCAAUUCACAUCACAAAGCUCUCCAAGAAGCUUUAUGAUUUCAACUUAAAUUGAAUCACACUUCCUGGAUAGUGAGUAAAAUUACAUGUUAAUUAUGAGGGGUUCCCAGCUCCUGCUAAGUCCAUGCAAUUCAAAAUACCUGCCUUAAAUUCAAAUCAGCUGAACCCUUGGCCUUGUCUUUUUCUUUUACAGAGCUAAGAAAUGGGAUAUGAUAUGUAAGAGCAGAUUUCUUGCAAAAACAGGUGGAAUUUUUAACCUUUAAACUAUCCAGACAAAGAGUAAAUCCUCCUUAACUCUUACAAGGUGCUUAUUUCAGUAUGAGCAGUAACUGAAAGUAGCAGCAUCAGUACUGGGAAGUAAAUUAGAGGAUUCACCACAUCAUCCAGAUGUAUCUUGAACAACUGCCCAUUGAGAAAAAAAUGCACAUUUACACAUAUCUAAGAUGUCACACCCAAUUUCACUAUAUUGCCUGUGAAAUUAGCAUAAUUAUUGGCAUUGAUAACAGCAUACUGCAUUUUCAUAUGGGCAAGAAUUGCAACUCUGUAGUAUGCAGCAUAGACAUAUGUAUGUCACAUACCUGUUGGCUCAGUGAUGGCUGCUGGUAUCCAUAUAAUUAUAGCCCAUUUAACACAUAUCCUACACAACAAUGAGCCACUGAUCGAUAGCAAAGCACUGAAAAUUAGACUCUGAGUUAAGGAAAAACAUUAACAUAGUAAUGCUAUAUUUUUUGGUAAUGAAUCAGUGCCUUUCUAGGAGAUAGAGUUCCUCCAACAAGGACUUUGCUUUCAUUUCUAUUUUCCUCAUUUGUGGAACAAAGGUGGUGAUAAAACACCACUACCGCACAUACAGAAUGUGAGAGUUGGCUGCUUUAACAGUGAGAAAUGGUGCAUGACUUAAGUCAGGAGACAUCUCUGAUACUCUGCUGAAGUAAUGCGUUAAUACAGGAUUGCAUUCGUACAAUGCAACUAUCUGUACAGUUUCUUGCUGUGCCAUCAUUGGCUGAAACUUAUUAAUACCAAAGUCCACGGGCAUACUUUGUGUAUAAAUGCUAAUAACUCAAGAAAAAGUUGUAACUUGGCAGCUAUAUUUUAAGCAAAAAC
ensembl:lncRNA